GCCCAUAGGUGGUUCCUCAAUUGUAAUACAAAUGUUGGCAUGUGCGUGCUUGAUAAGGCUUUGAGGUGGUUCCUAGUUUUUUGGUUUUUCUGCUCUUUAGCAGCUGUAUAGUUCCCUGCUUUGCAAAGUCUAAGGAUAUGGAAAUUGAUAUUCUAACUACUGGUGGUGAUUUAGCAGUGCAUUGAAGGGUGUUGAAGCAAGGGAGCAAGCAUAAUGACUACUGGUGUUUUGUUUAAUGUGCAGCAAAGGAGACUUUGGCUAUGAUUGAUUUUUUUUUUCUUUUCUAGUUUGCUAGCUUAGCUGAAGUUUCUUAAUUGUAUUGUAAUGUUGUAAAGUUUAUGUGGCAGCUUGCAGAAAAAAUUUAGCAAUCUGAUGUACUUAGUGGUGAAGUUGGGUUGGGAAGUAUCCUUUAGGUUGUAUCAUUUCGAUGGAUUAGGAGAAAUGUAGAUGCAAAAAAGGGUAAAUUCUAAUAUGAACCACUUCAUCAAGUGGUUCAUGGUGGACCAAUCAUGAAUAAUAUUAUAACGAAUACGAAUUUUAUAAAAUCUACCGUUGGAUUGAAAGAUUAUAUCAUAUAGAUCAUCCAUAGACAAAUUUAGAAAAAUUGAAAAUCAUUUGAUAUGUUAUCGAGACACAUCAAGAUUAACGGUUUAUUAACUAACGUAAAUCUUGAUGGGUCUCAAUAAUACAUUAAAUGAUUUUUAAAAAAUUUUAAAAAAUUUAUGGAUGAUCUAUACGAUAUAAACUUUCAAUCCAACAGUGAAUUUCGUAAAAUUCAUAUUCGGUAGAUCACUUGUCCAUAGUGGACCACUUGUGAAGGUGGUCCACCGUAACAUUAGCCCGCAAAACAGUCAUAUAAGUAGUGUAGAUGAUUAUCAGUGUCAAGUUGGUAAGUGUCAUCUCUACUAGCUUAGGAGGCUAAUGGAUUUUCUGUGCGUUUAUUUUUAGAUUGGUUUAGGCUUAUUGGUCAUAUGUCAAAAUACCAUGUCCGGUUGGUUAUUGUAGUUGUGAAAGUGUGUGUACAGAUUGGAGAGGAAGGUGUUAAAGCUCAUAAUGACAAGUACGGUUAUUAGUUGAUCAGAGUACACAGCGGAAGGUCAAGUUGUUGAGUAGUGCGAAAUUUCAAGGACGAAAUUUUCAUAAGAGGGUAGAAUGUAAUACCCCGAAUAAUUAAUUAAUAAGUUAUUUUCUUUAUUAACCUUAAUUAGUAUUAUGGCAAUAGAUUAAGCUAGUGAACAAUUAGUAAUUAAGUUGGG
rnacentral:lncRNA from 1 species